rfam:Corynebacterium sp. KPL1821 genomic scaffold addSR-supercont1.2, whole genome shotgun sequence.
ACUCGGGCACGAUCCGCUCCAUAAGUGGGUGGAACCGACCUGUAGUCCAACCCUGAGGGA